CCUGGUAGGUUAAGGCAAUAUGUCGGAAAAUCUGGUCAGGUCCGAAAGGAAGCAGCCACAUUCGGCCUCUAUUGGGUUUAGCCUACCUUAUCU
rnacentral:SRP_RNA from 1 species